CUUUCUUCAGUGUCUUGGACGGUUUGGC
rnacentral:piRNA from 1 species